rnacentral:lncRNA from 1 species
UUAUUGUGAUCAUGGAAUCUUUUCCCACUUUCUCUCGGUGACAGUUCUUGGAAAGACAUGAUUUUGCAGCCAUUCUUCCUAUCAACAUCAUAUUCAGUUCGACGACAGCGCAAUUUUAGCUCAGGCGAGGCAUUCGGCAUUCGACAAUUAAGGAUUUGGGGUUGUUUCCGAUUGCGGCUUCUGGUGAGUGGUGAGUUAUGAGUGUGUGUUUUUAGUUUUAGGGUUAUAUUAGUUUUUUUUUUCCAAUUUCACUUAUAUAUUUUAAAGUGAAAAUUCAUAAAUAAUUUAAAUAAAAAAUUUUGCAGAUCUAGAUACUCGACUUUUCGUAUGGCAGUGCAUCUGGAUCUAUAGCCAAAUCCACAUGAAUCUUAAAAAUUAGACUCCGAAUAUGUAUUUUUUUAUAUACAUAUAUAAUUUUUGUGGA